UUCUAAUGCCCUUUUCAUAAUGCC
rnacentral:siRNA from 1 species